GACGAACGCUGGCGGCGUGCUUAACACAUGCAAGUCGAACGAGAAUCACUGGAAGGAGUUUUCGGACAACGGAAGGUGAGGACAGUGGCGGACGGGUGAGUAACGCGUGAGGAACCUGCCUUUCAGAGGGGGACAACAGUUGGAAACGACUGCUAAUACCGCAUGACACAUAGAGAUCGCAUGGUUUUUAUGUCAAAGAUUUAUCGCUGAAAGAUGGCCUCGCGUCUGAUUAGCUAGUUGGUGAGGUAACGGCCCACCAAGGCGACGAUCAGUAGCCGGACUGAGAGGUUGACCGGCCACAUUGGGACUGAGAUACGGCCCAGACUCCUACGGGAGGCAGCAGUGGGGAAUAUUGGGCAAUGGGCGCAAGCCUGACCCAGCAACGCCGCGUGAAGGAAGAAGGCUUUCGGGUUGUAAACUUCUUUUGUCGGGGACGAGUAGAAGACGGUACCUGGCGAAUAAGCCACGGCUAACUACGUGCCAGCAGCCGCGGUAAUACGUAGGUGGCAAGCGUUGUCCGGAUUUACUGGGUGUAAAGGGCGUGUAGCCGGGAAGGCAAGUCAGAUGUGAAAUCCACGGGCUUAACUCGUGAACUGCAUUUGAAACUACUUUUCUUGAGUAUCGGAGAGGCAAUCGGAAUUCCUAGUGUAGCGGUGAAAUGCGUAGAUAUUAGGAGGAACACCAGUGGCGAAGGCGGAUUGCUGGACGACAAC
rnacentral:rRNA from 1 species